AGGAUCAUUAUUGAAUAAGCUUGGUUGGGUUGUUGCUGGCUCUUCGGGGCAUGUGCACGCCUAACGCCAACCUUUUACCACCUGUGCACCUUUUGUAGACCUGGAUAUCUCUCGAGGAAAACUCGGUAUGAGGGCUGCUGUGCGUCAAAGCCGGCUUUCCUUACAUUUCCGGUCUAUGUCUUUAAUAUACACCAUUAGUAUGUCUAUGAAUGUUAUUAUCGGACUUGAUUGUCCAAUAAACCUUAUACAACUUUCAACAACGGAUCUCUUGGCUCUCGCAUCGAUGAAGAACGCAGCGAAAUGCGAUAAGUAAUGUGAAUUGCAGAAUUCAGUGAAUCAUCGAAUCUUUGAACGCACCUUGCGCUCCUUGGUAUUCCGAGGAGCAUGCCUGUUUGAGUGUCAUGAAAUUCUCAACCUUAUCGGCUUAUUCUUGAGUCGAUUUAGGCUUGGAUGUGGGAGUAUGCGGGCUUCUCUGAAGUCGGCUCUCCUUAAAUUCAUUAGUAGCAAUCUCUGUUGCAUUAGCUUUUGGUGUGAUAAUUAUCUACGCCAUCAUGUGAAGCAGCUUUUAAAUUGAGGUUACUGCUCUCUAACCGUCUCUUUUGGUGGGACAAUUUAUGACAUUUUGACCUCAAAUCA
rnacentral:rRNA from 1 species